ensembl:lncRNA ELOVL2-AS1 ELOVL2 antisense RNA 1
GGCCGGGCGGCGAUUUGCAGGUCCAGCCGGCGCCGGUUUCGCGCGGCGGCUCAACGUCCACGGAGCCCCAGGAAUACCCACCCGCUGCCCAGAUCGGCAGCCGCUGCUGCGGGGAGAAGCAGUAUCGUGCAGGGCGGGCACGCUGGUCUUGCUUACAGUUGGGCUUCGAUUUUAUAGGUUCAGAAAGUGUGUCUCAGAGGAGUUAGAGAAGACCGAUUAAUAGAUGACAGUGCUAAAGCCUGGAUCUCCUGAAUCCUGGUUCUGGGAUACAUGUGCAGAAUGUGCAGGUUUGUUAAUAGGCAUACGUGUGCCAUGGUGGUUUGCUGCCCCUUCAACCCGUCAUCUAGAUUUUAAGCCCCGCAUGCAUUAGAUGAAAGUGUCCUAAGUUAGAUUCCUGGGAAGAAAAUUCUGAGACACAUUCUGCAGGAUGAUUAUUAGGGCUCAUCCUUGGUUUCAACACCCAUAGAAGGAAGGGGGAAGAAGAAAUCGAACAGAGAGACAGAAGUCGAGAUGCAUUUCAGGCCAGGACUCUUGGCUGAACCCACAGGAGCUCUGGAGCUAGAAUGGCCCUUCAGAGUUGUCCUGAGUUGGUCUGAGAUGGCCAGUUCUUUAUAUUCCUGCAUGGGAUAGUCACUGGAUGUCCACCCCAGGAAGGGGUGUGGCCAAGACAGUCCCUAAAAUGCCCGCCAGCACUCCCUACACCUGGAGCGACAAGACCAACAUCACAGGGGGAAUGCACUGGGUGAUGGAUCACAGCGUUCAUCCCAGAAGAUGAGGAUACAGAAUUGGCUGACAACUACGUUCUAAAUGUCAGUGUUCUCCAAAAUUCAUAUGUUGAAACUUAAUUCCCAAUGUGAUGGCAUUAGGAAGUGGGGCCUUUGGGGGAGGGACUAUAGGUCAUGAGGGUGUAACCCUCAUCAAUGGGAUUAGUGUCCAGAGAGCUGCCUUGCCCUUCCACCAUGUGAGGACAUAGUGAGAAGGUGCCAUCUAUGAACUAGGAAGUGGGCGCUUACCACCAGACACCCACUCUUCUGGCAACUUGAUCUUGAAUUUCCCAGCCUCCAGAACUCUGAGAAAUCAAUUUCUGUUAAUUAUAAGCUACCCAGUCGAUAGCAUUUUGUUAAAGCUGCUGGAACUAAACUAAGACACUGACGCUUUCUGCGACAAAAAGAUAGAGUGAGUCUCUAUAGCAUACCAUGUAACAGAUGUUUUUGGAAAAAUAACCUCAUUUCAUAUGUUUCCUCAAGAUAAAAAGAAUGUCAUAACAACAAAUGAGAAAAUAGUUGCUUUAGAAAUAUUGCACCCUAUGGAGAGAGUAUUUUGGAUUUUGGUUUUUUGUUUUGUUUUUUAACUUUUGUUUUAGGUUUGGGGGUACAUAUGCAGGUUUGUUAUAUAGGUAAACUCAUGUCACAGGGGUUUGUUGUACAGAUAAUUUCCUCACCCAGGUACUAAGCCUAGUACCCAAUAGUUGCUUUUUCUCCUCCUCUCUCUCCUCCCACCCUCCACCCUCAAAUAGGCCCCAGUGUAUGUUGUUCUCUUCAUUAUGUUCAUGAAGUUGAGAGAGUGUUUUGAAAAAGAAUGUUGGAAAGCAUUUCCACUGUUAGAUGAUUUUAAGUCAAAAAGUUAUACAACAGUGUGACCUAUUUGCACACAAGCAUGGACACAGAAUUGUGUCAUAUGUUUAAAACUUUUCUAGAUCCUUUUGUGGUUCAUAAGCUUGAUGAUUGAGUUUUCGCGUCCACAUGUGAGAUGUGCCUCCCUUGAGCCUUGUCAUUGGCACAUUACCUGCCUGAUGUGAACAAUAAAAAUAAAAAAUAAAAAUUUGCUAAGCAGAGU